ACAGGAGUUGGCCGCCUGACAUCAGCAGUAGCCGGUGUGGUUGCUGGGCAGCAGGGGGGUCUCCAUGGGAACGGCUGGGCCAUGAGCACUUCCUGUCGCAGUUGCCCCUGUCCCGCCCUCGCUCGGGGACAGUACCAGGCGGUGACCCCCUCCCCGGAGGGACGUGACUGAGCAGCAGUGCUGGGACAGGGGCUCCCCUGGCACCACCCACCCUGCCUUGGCCUCCUGCCAGUGCAAGGCUUUGCAGAGCCUUUAACAGGCUGAUGUGACAGUGGAUCUCCUACUACCAAGAGUAACUUCGUCAUGGAACCCUUUUUUAUAGCGUAAAUGGAUAACAGCAGACUCUGGAAAUCACAUUUCCUGAUGCUUUGUGUUUGAAUUCUGAUUCCAUCACUAACUAGUU